rnacentral:lncRNA from 1 species
CGUGGCUUCACUUUUAACAUUAACUCAGGUGUUUUGGAGUCUCUUGAGCUCGAUUCAUUUGGGCUUACCAUUGUCCCUGUUAGUCUGGUAAUUUGGUUGGACACCUACCUGUCAUCUUAUAGGGCAUAUAAAUCCAUUGAUUAUGUCUCAGUAUACCACUUAUUCUUUACAGGUAAGCACGUACUGUUUAUUUGUGGAAGAUGUGCUUGAUAUAGUUUCUGAUACAAUCGUGGUGCAUGAAGAUGCAAUCUCUCGUGUUCAACGGUUAACACAGGUAAGCAUUACUGAUUGUUUCUUGAUAGAACCACUAUUGGACUUAAAAGUACCGAUUGCGUGGAGACCAAAUCGUAAUCGAAGCAACAACCUUGUUGAGUGAAAAAUAUUCUUAACUGAAUGGUAG